UUGUUUGAGACCAACAAAGCAAACAAUGCGUUGUUGUGGGCAACUAUACAAGUCGACAGAGUUAUGGCCUGGGCUAAUAAGAUGAACGAAUGAAUGAGUACAGAUAUUUGACGAAGCCACGGCUAAAACUUCAUCACAGAUGAACCGCAAUUGCCAGUAUCUCAUCUGUUCGGAUGAACUGUUUGCUAAACCGUCGGCAGUAUUAAAUAGUGUUUGCAAUACAUCUCCACCAAAAUU
rnacentral:lncRNA from 1 species